rnacentral:rRNA from 1 species
GACGAACGCUGGCGGCGUGCCUAAUACAUGCAAGUCGAACGCAGUGGGGACGGGUGAGUAACACGUGGGUAGACUCCCAUCAGAGGGGACAACGAUUGGAAACAGGUGCUAACCCGCUACUGAUGGAUGAACCCGCGGUGCAUUGGCUAGUUGGUGAGGUAACGGCUCACCAAGGCCACGAUGCAUAGGCGACCUGGUGGGGUGAUCGGCCACACGGGGACUAAGACACGGCCCCGACUCCUACGGUAGGCAGCAGUAGGGAAUCUUCGGCAAGGGACGAAAGUCUGACCGAGCAACGCCGCGUGAGUGAAGAAGGUUUUAGGAUCGUAAAACUCUGUUGUUAGAGAAGCGGUAUCUAACCAGAAAGCCACGGCUAACUACGUGCCAGCAGCCGCGGUAAUGC